AUACGUAGGUGGCGAGCGUUGUCCGGAAUUACUGGGCGUAAAGGAUGCGUAGGUGGAUAUUUAAGUGGGAUGUGAAAUCCCCGGGCUCAACCCGGGAACUGCAUUCCAAACUGGGUAUCUAGAGUGCAGGAGAGGAAAGCGGAAUUCCUAGUGUAGCGGUGAAAUGCGUAGAUAUUAGGAGGAACACCAGUGGCGAAGGCGGCUUUCUGGACUGUAACUGACACUGAGGCAUGAAAGCGUGGGUAGAAAACAGGAUUAGAUACCCUGGUAGUCCACGCCGUAAACGAUGGGUACUAGGAGUAGGAGGUAUCGACCCCUUCUGUGCCGUCGUUAACACAAUAAGUACCCCGCCUGGGGAGUACGGUCGCAAGACUAAAACUCAAAGGAAUUGACGGGG
rnacentral:rRNA from 1 species